rnacentral:rRNA from 1 species
AUCAUUGGGCGUAAAGCGUCUGUAGGUUGUUUAAUAAGUCUGUUGUUAAAGACUAGGGCUCAACCCUAGAAAAGCAAUGGAAACUACUAGACUUGAGUAUGGCAGGGGUAGAGGGAAUUUCUAGUGUAGCGGUGAAAUGCGUAGAUAUUAGAAAGAACACCAGCGGCGAAAGCGCUCUACUGGGCCAUUACUGACACUCAGAGACGAAAGCUAGGGUAGCAAAAGGGAUUAGAUACCCCUGUAGUCCUAGCCGUAAACGAUGGAUACUAGAUGUUGUGUUUAAUAUGCAGUAUCGUAGCUAACGCGUUAAGUAUCCCGCCUGGGGAGUACGCUCGCAAGGGUGAAACUCAAAGGAAUUGAUGGGGGCCCGCACAAGCGGUGGAGCAUGUGGUUUAAUUCGAUGCAACGCGAAGAACCUUACCAGGACUUGACAUACUACAAAUUUCUUUGAAAAAAGGAAGUGCCUUCGGGAAUGUAGAUACAGGUGGUGCAUGGCUGUCGUCAGCUCGUGUCGUGAGAUGUUGGGUUAAGUCCCGCAACGAGCGCAACCCUUAUUUUUAGUUACUAAUUAAUUAGGUUUUCUAGAAAGACUGCCGGUGACAAACCGGAGGAAGGUGAGGAUGACGUCAAGUCAGCAUGCCCCUUAUGUCCUGGGCUACACACGUGCUACAAUGGUUAAGACAAAGGGUCGCGAGCUCGUGAGAGUCAGCUAAUCCCAUAAUUUAGCCUAAGUUCAGAUUGUAGGCUGCAACUCG